rnacentral:snRNA from 18 species
UGUUCUAUUAAAAUCAUUCAGGGCCUUACUUAAGACCCGGUGUACAAUUUUUGGAGCCCUGUCGCUUGCGGCAGGGUA